rnacentral:lncRNA from 10 species
CUUCCUUCCUUCCUGCCUUCCUCCCUCCCUGCCUUCCCUUCCUUCCUGCCUUCCUUCUUCCUUCCUCCCUUUUUUCUUUUCUCCCUUCCUUCCUUCUUAAUAUGUUUUUGGCCUUUUCUUUAUAUAUGUGGCCUAGCAAUAUCCUGUGUUUGGAAAAGUAUAAACCUAAGGCAUCACCUUUACAGAAAAUAUCUUCCACGGAAACAUCUAAAGGCAAAAAUCCUUCAAAUUCAAAUUUAUCCAAUCAUUUCUUCUGCUUACUACCAUCCUAAAUCAUUUUUCUUUAGUAAGAUCUAUUAGUGUGAAGCUAUUAAGCUAUUAAUGUAUGUAUCAUAUUAAUGUAUUAAGACAUUAAGUGAGGAAGUAAAGUUGCAUUCACAGGCCUUGAACUUUUCCACAUCUCGAUUUUUACCCAUCAUCUCUGCAUAGUUCCCUAAGGCAGCCUUCAAAUGGUGAUGUUUCUUAUAAUCCAGAGUUCAGAAGUGGCUUCUCUUCAAUCUUUCUGUGGAAUUCUAAACCACGUGAUAAAGGAGCUGGUGGCCACAGAUCAGCCCUGGGGUUCAGAGGGAUCCUGACAGCUACUCCUCAAGAUCCUCUCUGUUGUGAUUCAUCCCCCCGGGGCCCUACAGUUUCUCCUUCCUGACUCUUACAUUUCUUUGGAUGGCAUCAUUAUUUACCUGUCUCCUCCCAUAGUUAGGUGCCAAGCACUGUGGAUUCUGCCUCUCAGUGUCCAGACACCCAUUUUCCUUCCCACUGUUCCUUCCCCAUGGAGAAGCCUGUGGCUGGCUGACAGCAGAGAGAGAUGCUCAACUUGGAGAAGGUGUUACCUGGGCCAGGUGGGGAAGGUUUGUUUGCAGAGCAAAGAAGUGAAGGAAGUAUUAACCCUUUGCAUGGCCUCCUGAGAAUCCGACAAGACGUAAAUAGCCAAGAAUAUCUGUGAAACUUCAUCACUGAGUUACAAUAUUUAUCACUGCAAGUGUGUUGUUCAUUGACACUAUAAAGCCAUGUGGAAUUAAGCAGCCUUGAAACACAAAAUGGAGAAAGGCUAAGAGCUGAGAAUUGUUGCCUUCAGGGAAAUACAAUCAAUGUCAAGCAAACAACCACCCCAAAAUGGUUAGCUUUAUCAGCAUUCAGGCCUACAGUGAACGCAAAUGUUCCAGAUCUGAGUUUCAAUUUUUAAAGAAUAAACAUAUGCAAAUGACCAUUAGUCUUAGUAGUUUUAGGGCUCAGAAUGAUCUUAUCUUGUUAACAUUCAGGGCAACUGCUUAUACCCAUUUGAAUGUCAUUUAGAGGGCUAGGAAAGACUGCUUCAACAUUUGAUGACUAAAUGGCAGGGCUCAGCCACAAUGCUCACUCCGAGAAAUGAGAAAUAGACACACCAGUAUGCUAGAUGCUGAUGCAGUUCAGGAAAUGCUACCCCAAAAUAUGGCCCCUCAGCAUACUGAGUAUUUUAAGCAGAAGGCAAUUAAGAAAACCACAAAAACAGAAAGGUCCCUCUGACCUUCUCCCACCCUCUCUCUCUUGAAGAUCCUCAUGUGACAGGUGACCUGCCAUAUAAUCAGAAGGAAGAAAUGUUACACAGAGAGGCUGAGAAGAAUCUGAGGACUUGCUAAGUUUUCCCCAGUUUAUUACCAUUAGAUCAUAUGCCUUUUUUGUUCAAUCAUACUUCUAUACAACUGUCCAUCAUUCAUUAAACCUAACCACAAAAGUAGUUUUCACUCGGUUUUUGAGUGAAGGCUCCUGUGUCACAUAAAACUUACAUUAAAUAAAUUUGUUCCACUU